rnacentral:rRNA from 1 species
UACGGAGGGUGCAAGCGUUGUCCGGAUUUAUUGGGCGUAAAGGGCGCGUAGGCGGCCACGCACGUCCGUUGUGAAAUCGCUCGGCUCAACUGGGCGGGGUCAGCGGAUACGGUGUGGCUAGAGCAAGCUAGGGGGCAAUGGAAUUCCCGGUGUAGUGGUGGAAUGCGUAGAUAUCGGGAGGAACACCAGUGGCGAAGGCGGUUGCCUGGAGCUUUGCUGACGCUGAUGCGCGAAGGCGUGGGGAGCGAUCCGG